rnacentral:sRNA from 25 species
GAACGACCAAUUCGAAGCGCCGGAAGUCAGGGUAGAAAACCGGCCGCGUAGGACCCGCGCAUGACGGAGCCCACGCCCCCUAGAGUCGUCCGGGCCUGCCCAUGUCC